CUGCCAUCGCGCCUGAGCUCUGGGCCCUUCUCGCCUCUGGCCCAGUUCAAUCAAGGCCUGGGCCCUCCCCGGUCGAAGUUCCCUGACCAGAACUAGCAUGGAACGUGUUGGGGAAACAGCUCUCUACGGUUGCAGGGGUAGGUAAGCUUUGUUUUUUUUCUGUCUGAACGUCUGGGAAAGCAGAAGGAAGAAUUCACUUGGUCAACAAAUAUUUGCCCAGCGUCCAAAGCAAAUGAAACCGACUUCCUGCCCCGAGCAAAUAAAGAAUCAUCACAUGAAUGAAAGAUUGCAAGCUGAACCCGGCAGGACCGGCAGGGGGCUCUGUUGGAGGAGCUGGGAGCUGAGGAAGCAGCCAUCUGGGACAAGGUAGUGGAGCAAUGAGCGGGUGGCCCUCCUGGGCCCGGGCCACUUUGUUUCGUGAAAGACUAGUGAAGAAGGAACCAAGGGCUCCUGAAGCUACAGCAGGCUGUCAGAGCUAGGGUAUGCACAUGUGAACAAAACUGGACCUUGGGAGCAUAUGGGAAGUCUGCUACAGGGCUUCAGAGAAAAAGAUUUCCCUUCUUAAUUACAAAAAAAAGAAAAGAAAAGAGAAAAAGAAAAGAAAGAAAAAAGAAAAGAAGAGAAAAGGAGAGAAGAGAAGAGACAAGACAAGACAAGACCUGUCCCACCUCUGGACAUGCUGCCUGGAGCUGCAGUCGCCAUCUUGCAGCAUUAAGCGAUACCUCUGAGGAAACACCAACCCC